AGUGAACGCUGGCGGUAGGCCUAACACAUGCAAGUCGAACGGCAGCACAGUAAGAGCUUGCUCUUACGGGUGGCGAGUGGCGGACGGGUGAGGAAUACAUCGGAAUCUACUUUUUCGUGGGGGAUAACGUAGGGAAACUUACGCUAAUACCUCAUACGACCUACGGGUGAAAGCAGGGGAUCUUCGGACCUUGCGCGAUUGAAUGAGCCGAUGUCGGAUUAGCUAGUUGGCGGGGUAAGGGCCCACCAAGGCGACGAUCCGUAGCUGGUCUGAGAGGAUGAUCAGCCACACUGGAACUGAGACACGGUCCAGACUCCUACGGGAGGCAGCAGUGGGGAAUAUUGGACAAUGGGCGCAAGCCUGAUCCAGCCAUACCGCGUGGGUGAAGAAGGCCUUCGGGUUGUAAAGCCCUUUUGUUGGGAAAGAAAAGCAGCAGGUUAAUACCCCGCUGUUCUGACGGUACCAAAAGAAUAAGCACCGGCUAACUUCGUG
rnacentral:rRNA from 1 species